CUAUUACAUGAAUAGUAACUCAAUUAGUACUCAUUUUAAUAUAUAGUUUUGUUAUCUGGUCAAAUAUUGUGAUUUAUAUGUUUUGACAAUUGCAUCUGAAGUUUGAUUAUGAAUAAGUUUAUUUCCGUAGUUCAAAUAAUAUAUAUUUAUUUUAAAGUUUAAAUAAUGUAUCUUAUGUUAAAGAGUUAUUAAUUAUUAUUUUAAUUUGGUUACCUUUCUUUCUUUUUUUGUAAAAAAAUGUUUCACUUUUGCAACGACCAACUCUAAAUCAUGCAAACAAGCCCUUUGUUAGUGCACAUUAUUUAAAUUUAUCAAGUUUACAAACUUAAGUACA
rnacentral:lncRNA from 1 species